rfam:Anopheles merus strain MAF unplaced genomic scaffold supercont2.35, whole genome shotgun sequence.
UGCUCUCGCAACUCCUAUUCCUACCUCCACGUUGGUGCCGACUGGGAUGCGGAUCACUUCGCCGUGAUUCGUAUGCUAACAGGAAAGG